AUGCAGAGAAUGAGUGGAAGUCUCUUUGUAUGGACAUGUAUUUCUACAAUACCCAUGAAUGUUUUCCUUCUGGCCACUGAAGAGGAGGAUUCAUCUUUAUCUUCACUGUCAUCAAAGGAUAAGAUUAAUUAUGCCACAACACUGCUGUUCAGAGCUGCUGUUCUCUUCUGUCUGAACAAAGGCAAUGCAACAUGGACUCCUCACAAAUCACAAGUCACUGAAGAGCUUCAGUCAAUUCAUGGAAAUAACAUGCCAGCCUGCACUUCCUUCCUGAGCCAAGCCACCAAGCCUGUCUCAAUGCUCAGAGACACUGAUGGAGAGACACCUAAUCCAGAAACACCAGUGAGGAAAGGACAAGCAUCAGAGUCAUCCACCUGAGCCAACAGGACCUUAGAAGGGGGUAUAAAGGCAGUCUUAACUUUCUUAAUAAAUGAGUCUACAACAGGCUUUGCUACUGGCUGAAUCCAGGCAUAUGAGUUGUUGGUGCAGCAUCUUCUCACCCCCUCCCUCAAAGUGUGUCCAUGCAGGAUAACCUGAAACAUGAGGAUAUAAAAGAGAAAGUAAAGUCUAAAGGUACUCCAAAGUUUUCAUCUGAGUCAAAAACAAUUUUACCAUUUACUGACAUGAGGAUAAGAGAUAAAAUGCUUAUAUUUUGCAAUGAAGCAGUGAAGUCUGAGAUGCUCAUGAGAUGCCCAGGCAUAAGGACAGAGCAAUUAGAUAUGUGACUCUGGAGUUAAAGGAAAAGUCCUGGAUGGAGAUGGAAACUUUCAUAAUGAUAUAUCAGUAGAUCAUAAGAGUUUGAGUCUUGGGGUUCAGAAACUUUUGUGCUUUUUUGAGACUUUUCAGUCAAUACCAGUGAAAUAGGAAAACACAAAGGCAACAUUGUGAAGCCUAGUGAGAAAAAGGAUUCCUCAGAGAUGAGACCAAUAAACUCUGCUGAAUGUUGUUUACAUUGGUAUGUGAUUGGGGCUGAGAAUGGACCAAUGACAACAUGAAAAUUGCUGUAAAGUUUGAUGAGAGCAUGUUAACUAAAGAGUUCACCCAUAUAUUUGCAAUAAUAAUAAGAAAGAUAAUACCCAAAACAGUCUAUAGAAAGAGUUCUCUGGUGGAGUUUUAUUAGAGAAAUGAGGCAUUGGUUUAAAACAUUUUUUAAAUCUAAUAAAACAAUACUUUUGAAUAUUAGAAACGACUUGUUCAAGGGAGAAAAGAUGUACAUUGGAGACACAGAGUAGGGUUGUGCAGCCUCUAAGAAAGUCAUUAUUAUCUAGGUAAGAAUAGUAG
rnacentral:lncRNA from 1 species